rnacentral:rRNA from 1 species
AACGAACGCUGGCGGCAGGCUUAACACAUGCAAGUCGAGCGCCCCGCAAGGGGAGCGGCAGACGGGUGAGUAACGCGUGGGAAUCUACCCAUCUCUACUGAAUAACGCAUGGAAACGUGUGCUAAUACCGUAUACGUCCUUCGGGCGAAGGAUUUAUCGGAGAUGGAUGAGCCCGCGUUGGAUUAGCUAGUUGGCGGGGUAAAGGCCUACGAAGGCGACGAUCCAUAGCUGGUCUGAGAGGAUGAUCAGCCACACUGGGACUGCGACACGGCCCAGACUCCUACGGGAGGCAGCAGUGGGGAAUAUUGGACAAUGGACGCAAGCGUGAUCCAGCCAUGCCGCGUGAGUGAUGAAGGCCCUAGGGUUGUAAAGAUCUUUCACCGGUGAAGAUAAUGACGGUAACCGGAGAAGAAGCCCCGGCUAACUUCGUGCCAGCCGCCGCAGUAACAC